rnacentral:lncRNA from 1 species
UUUUUCUUUCAAAACUUAACACUAUGAGGUUUUAGAAGAUCAGAAUUCAUAAUAUUUAGACGAUAUUUUUUUUAAUGAAUCUUACCCCUCACUCUUUUUCACAAUUUGAAGUUAAAUUUUCGUUCCCGUAUGUAAAUAACCAGCACACAGACUUUUAUCACCUUUUUUUUUAUUCAUUUGAAGACUUCCAUCGCACUGUUAAAACCAAUAUUCAGUGUAUGGCGGAUCCAAAAUUUUACAUUAGGAGGGGGUGGGCGCUGACUGAGCUUAGGAGAGCUCGCUUCAGUCAUGCUUCAGUGAGUCCCGUAUGUUUAAGCUAACAAAUUUUUCCGACUAAAGCCACCACCCCCCUCGAAUCUGCCUAUAUUCUUGAAAAUGUUGUUCUUAUACACACUUACCUCAAUGUCAUUGUCUCAAGUCUACAGUCUCUGCACCGCACACUUACAAUCGAAUAAGCCGUUGAUAAGAC